rnacentral:rRNA from 1 species
UACGUAGGGGGCGAGCGUUGUCCGGAUUCAUUGGGCGUAAAGCGCGCGUAGGCGGCUCCGCAAGUCGGCCGUGAAAUCUCCGGGCUCAACUCGGAGGGGUCGGGCGAGACUGCGAGGCUCGAGGUGGGCAGAGGGCAGUGGAAUUCCGGGUGUAGUGGUGGAAUGCGUAGAGAUCCGGAGGAACACCAGUGGCGAAGGCGGCUGCCUGGGCCUGGCCUGACGCUGAGGCGCGAAAGCGUGGGGAGCAAUCCGGG